rnacentral:rRNA from 1 species
GUGCCAGCCGCCGCGGUAAUACGGAGGGUGCAAGCGUUAAUCGGAAUUACUGGGCGUAAAGAGCGCGUAGGUGGUUACUUAAGUCAGAUGUGAAAGCCCUGGGCUCAACCUGGGAAUUGCAUUUGAUACUGGGUAGCUAGAAUAUGGUAGAGGGUAGCGGAAUUUCUGGUGUAGCGGUGAAAUGCGUAGAUAUCAGAAGGAACAUCAAUGGCGAAGGCAGCUACCUGGGCCGAUAUUGACGCUGAGGCGCGAAAGCGUGGGGAGCAAACAGGAUUAGAUACCCUGGUAGUCCACGCCGUAAACGAUGACAACUUGUUGAUGGGAAGGUUACUUUUCGUUGACGGAGCUAACGCAUUAAGUUGUCCGCCUGGGGAGUACGGUCGCAAGGCUGAAACUCAAAUAAAUUGGCGG